rnacentral:lncRNA from 1 species
CUGAGAGAGUAGCAGUGUGCACGCUUCUUCUUUCAUUACUGUAACUGUCCUUUUUGAAGCAGCAGUGGGAACUGAAUGAAUCAUUCGGCUACGUGAAAGAGCACUCGUAUUUUCAGUUCUCUUUUUUCCACGCCGUGAAGAGGAGAAGAACAUGAAGGUGUCAUCAAACCCAUCCAACCAAAUGCCCAUAGGAAGUCCUACUUGUACUUCAGUCCCCAAAUGACAAGUGCAAUUGGAAAAAUGUAAAUAUUAUUCUGCAGGACACAUUUGUACAUUAUUCUGUAAUUAUUAGAAUAAUUAGCUUGACCUAACUCCAGUCUAAAACUUCAACGAUCAACCUUUGACCCUCAGCAUGAAGGUCAGUCACAAGUCAUGGAGUUCCCCGAAGAGAGAGCGGUGGCUACAAUGAC